rnacentral:lncRNA from 1 species
UUUUAUCUGCCCAUCCGAGUCAUCCCGUACUCCAAAAGAAUAUGCUAAUUUUUACACAUAAUAGCAAGCUGCUUUAAAUUUAGCAACCCAACAUUCUUCUGAACAUUUAUGGCUGCAGGUAGAAAAAGAGAAAUAAAGUUAAGAAAAAAAUAACUUGGUACGAAACCAGAUAUUGAAAUGUGCUCAAGAAUAUAUAAAAACUUACUUCGUUUGGAGCAUCAGAUAUACAUAUAUGCUCUGUUUGGGCCAUUGUCAAUAUACAAAGCUACAUAAUUCACAUUAACAAUUGGUGUGUAAAUUAGGUAGUAAUAAACAUGUUUGUAUGGAGUAAUUUCAUCAAACACAUGGUGUUCAGAAAGAAAAUUAGACACAUAAAUACAUAUACCUUUUAUUAAACAUUUCAUGAAAUGAAAAUAAAUGCCAUCCUUCAUUUGUUGAUCCUAUAGAAAAAAUAAGAUUAAGCACUUAUACUUGUUUGUAGCUAAUAUAAACGAUUCAAGUGGGUGGAUAGACAGAAAAAAAAAAUGAAGAAACAUACUUUAAGUAUCCUUCAAUAGUUCAUGAUUUUGCAAUAACAACACUCCAUAACUUCUUAAUAUCUGACAAAGUUUUAAAAUGCCCAAAAAAUGAAAACGAAAUAAAUAGAAAUAAGGAUAGAGAUGAUCAGGAAAACCCAGUUCAGAGCUCUCCUUUGAUAAUAUUUUUGAACCAUUUGACCUGCACAAAAAAAAUAAUAAUAAAAAAAAUAAAAAAUUCUCAUUCAUUUUUAGUAAAUCUUAAUGUAUCAUUUUGGUGUUAAUCACAUAUUUGUUUACUGAAAAGCCAUAAUUAAUAGGUUAUGUUGCUCAAUAAUCAAUAUUGUUGAUUUGGUAUUG